UAGAAAUAUGUAGCGACAAAGUGCAUAUCCAUCACUAAAUUCAUCACCAAUUUUUACUCAAACUUUUUAGGGCACAAAUAAUUCCCUCUCAACACUAAAACACUUUUCUCACACUUUUCUUUCAUUUUCACGGAGUGAGAGAGUGAGGAGAACCUCUCGUCACUUACAUAAAGGGGAACCUCUCGUCGCUCCCCACGUGCCUACCCACCCACCUAGUCAUACAAUAUUCUGUGAAGUGAAAGUUUGUAGAUCUUGAAAGAAGGUGUGUUUAGUGAAGUGAAGAAGUAUCAGCGACAUAAUUACUUCAUUGUUGCUGGAAAUCAGUUGCUGCUGCUUGGAUGCUACUUCAUCAUUGCUAGAAAUUUAUCGUUGCUUCUUGGAUGCUACUUCAUCAUUGUUGGCUUAUUAAACACCCAAACCCCAUAUUUCUUUGAAAAUCAAAAGUGAUUUACCAGGUGGUACUCAAUCUGAAUUGGGAGAUAAUCCAUAUCGUCAAAUGAUAUUGGAUGUAGAUGGAUCAAACUUUGGCCAGGAUUCGAGUUGGCAAUGUUAUAGUAAUAUCGAACCUAAGUCAUCUCAGCAUUGUGAACCUUCAAUGGAAGAAGAUUUUAUUCCUUCAAUGGAGGACGAGCCUAACCUUGAGGCAUAGAGAUGCCGACAUGAGAUGGCAUCAUGAGCAUAUACAAGAAGAGGGGGUAACGCAUCAUCCAUCGGACACUGAAACUUGGAAGCACUUCAAUGAAACUCAUUUUAUUUUUUCUACUGUACUAAGGUAUGUGAGGUUAGGGUUAUGUACUGAUAGUUUCUAGCCAUUUGCUCAAUCGGGAAGAAAAUACUCUUCAUGGCCAGUUAUUGUAACUCCAUAUAAUUUGCCUCCAAGGAUGUGUAUGAAAGAGGCUUAUAUGUUCUUAAUUGUCAUUGUUUCAGGUCCACGCAAUCCUAAACAAGAAAUUGAUGUUUAUCUACAACCUUUAAUAAA